rnacentral:antisense_RNA from 1 species
UUUCACCGACCCCAGCAACACCGCUGGCGCACCGUCGCGCUGCCCGUAGGUCGCCAGCAGGGCCUGCGCCUC